UUCGUGUCAUUCUCUUUUUGUUUUCAAAUUCAACCCCUCAACCGAAACUCUCCUGUUUUUGCGCUUUGAUUUUACUUUUCUACGAAUUUUAUGCCGUCGUUAUUACCGUAGUCACAUGGCGACAGACCCACUCAGCUUUUAUUGGGGCAGUGGGGAAAACAGCGGUACUGACAACAUACUCAGGAGUAUAAAUAAUGAAAUAACACUAAUAAUGCAUGUGGAAGUCAAAACUUAUUUAUGUGUCGUGUGCAGAACGAAAGGAAAUCUCACACAUGGCGGCGGGCAGAACGCUAACAAGAAAAACCAGCUUACCAGCAGCAGAUUCGCCAGCCGCAACCUCCUUUGUCAUCAUCAAAAAUGCCAAGAGAACCGAAAACCAACCCAAAAACAACAAUGACAACUCCAAUGAAUGGCGACAAAUCAGUUAGCUAAAUGUUGCCGAGCCAGGCGUGCGUGCGAUUUGACCGCAGUUUGUGUGAUUCCAUCAUCGAAAAACCAUACUGAAGGCGAAGGACAAAGGGUCCAGGACAUAAUUGAAAGCGAAAGGCGGCAUGGUGAGCUCUGUCGGCCGGGAGGCGGUGAAAAAUAACUGGAAAUAAUUUUCCAACAUAAAUCCUGGCACGCCAAGUUAUUACAGUAAUUUCAUGAUAAAUGUCCGAUAAAUAAAUGUAUAAAUAAAAGUCUUG
rnacentral:sRNA from 1 species